rnacentral:rRNA from 2 species
CUCCCAAACCCCUGUGAACAUACCACUUGUUGCCUCGGCGGAUCAGCCCGCUCCCGGUAAAACGGGACGGCCCGCCAGAGGACCCCUAAACUCUGUUUCUAUAUGUAACUUCUGAGUAAAACCAUAAAUAAAUCAAAACUUUCAACAACGGAUCUCUUGGUUCUGGCAUCGAUGAAGAACGCAGCAAAAUGCGAUAAGUAAUGUGAAUUGCAGAAUUCAGUGAAUCAUCGAAUCUUUGAACGCACAUUGCGCCCGCCAGUAUUCUGGCGGGCAUGCCUGUUCGAGCGUCAUUUCAACCCUCAAGCACAGCUUGGUGUUGGGACUCGCGUUAAUUCGCGUUCCUCAAAUUGAUUGGCGGUCACGUCGAGCUUCCAUAGCGUAGUAGUAAAACCCUCGUUACUGGUAAUCGUCGCGGCCACGCCGUUAAACCCCAACUUCUGAAUGUUGACCUCGGAUCAGGUAGGAAUACCCGCUGAACUUAAGCAUAUC